rnacentral:rRNA from 1 species
CUCAAGACUAAGCCAUGCAUGUCUAAGUAUGAACGCUUCUAUACUGUGAAACUGCGAAUGGCUCAUUAAAUCAGUUAUAGUUUAUUUGAUGGUUCCUUGCUACUUGGAUAACCGUAGUAAUUCUAGAGCUAAUACAUGCAGAAAGUCCCGACUUGUGGAAGGGAUGUAUUUAUUAGAUCCAAAACCAGCGCGAGUCUCCUUGUGGGGCUCGGUUGCUCGGUGAUUCAUGAUAACUGCUCGAAUCGCAGGGCCCUUGUGCCGGCGAUGAUCCAUUCAAAUUUCUGCCCUAUCAACUUUCGAUGGUACGGUAGUGGCCUACCAUGGUUGCAACGGGUGACGGAGAAUUAGGGUUCGAUUCCGGAGAGGGAGCCUGAGAAACGGCUACCACAUCCAAGGAAGGCAGCAGGCGCGCAAAUUACCCAAUCCCGACUCGGGGAGGUAGUGACAAUAAAUAACAAUGCCGGGCUAUCGUAGUCUGGCAAUUGGAAUGAGUACAACCUAAACCCCUUAACGAGGAACAAUUGGAGGGCAAGUCUGGUGCCAGCAGCCGCGGUAAUUCCAGCUCCAAUAGCGUAUAUUAAAGUUGUUGCAGUUAAAAAGCUCGUAGUUGGAUUUCGGGGCAGUCCGUCUGGUCCGUCGCAAGGCGAGCACUGGUCGGGCGCCCUUCCUCUCGGAGGCCCCGACUGCUCUUGGUUGCAGUGGUCGGGGAGUUCGGGACGUUUACUUUGAAAAAAUUAGAGUGUUCAAGGCAGGCCACCGCCUGAAUACAUUAGCAUGGAAUAAUGGAAGAGGACCUCGGUCCUAUUUUGUUGGUUUCCAGGGCCGAAGUAAUGAUUAAGAGGGACAGUUGGGGGCAUUCGUAUUUAAUUGUCAGAGGUGAAAUUCUCGGAUUUAUGAAAGACGAACAACUGCGAAAGCAUUUGCCAAGGAUGUUUUCAUUAA